AUUAGGGAUGCAAUUGGAUCUCCAUUACUAUCCUCUACCCUGAUGCCACCACAAGGGGUUGUAAUUGGGGAGGAGAGUUACCAUCAGAUAUAUGAAUUGUCUUUCACCAUUUACUUGGCUAGAGCUGCUCUAGUGUUCAAAUCAGAUGCUAUUCUGGCAUUAUAUGCAGGAAAUACAAAAUUUGCUCGUGGUCUGGAAACUUAUCUGUUAUCUAGGGACCAUUCUAAUCUGAGAUCAGAAUUUCAGCUCAGAAAUGGCAAGAUAACAAUUGAUUGCAUCGAAAAUCAGCCUGCUGUCAAUGUUGUACUAGGAGAACAUUUAUUUUUGACUGUUGGUGAUUACUUUCUGAGAACAAGGGAGGCGGAGUGAGAGCUGGUUGAAGCUGUCGGGAGCAUACUUGACGCUGAUUUUGUCUGGGUGACUUAGCGUGAGUUAAAAUGAUCGUGCAAACAGCCGUGAUUUGUGCAAACAGCCAUGAUUGAUUGAUGCAUGUUCUUGGGCCUGCACUCAUUCCUGGCUAGAGACGCGU
rnacentral:misc_RNA from 1 species